GUUUUCAUGCUAUAAUAUUCAGCGAGGAAGUUUUAAGGGCGGUGGCUGACUCAGUAGAAAUGAGGUGGUUCCAUUGGAACAACUCUGGACGAAAGGGAAGCCCAAUGUCGACGUUUCAAGCGCUGACGUUGAUGAUUGCUUUUGGUAUGCUAGUAGCUACCAUUUGCAACAACAA
rnacentral:sRNA from 1 species